UACGUAGGGCGCAAGCGUUAUCCGGAAUUAUUGGGCGUAAAGAGCUCGUAGGCGGUUUGUCGCGUCUGCCGUGAAAGUCCGGGGCUCAACUCCGGAUCUGCGGUGGGUACGGGCAGACUAGAGUGAUGUAGGGGAGACUGGAAUUCCUGGUGUAGCGGUGAAAUGCGCAGAUAUCAGGAGGAACACCGAUGGCGAAGGCAGGUCUCUGGGUAGUAACUGACGCUGAGGAACGAAAGCGUGGGUAGCGAACAGG
rnacentral:rRNA from 1 species